UACAGAGGGGCAAGCGUUGUUCGGAAUUACUGGGCGUAAAGGGCGCGUAGGCGGCCUUCGUAAGUCGAACGUGAAAUCCCCGGGCUCAACCCUGGGAUGCCGGCCGAUACUGGCGGACUAGAGUCCGGAAGAGGUGAGUGGAAUUCCUGGAUGUAGCGGUGAAAUGCGCAGAUAUCAGGAGGAACACCGGUGGCGAAGGCGGCAUCCU
rnacentral:rRNA from 1 species